rnacentral:sRNA from 1 species
AGAUCUGGGGGGUUUUCUGGCUGCAACAUCUGUCACCCUAUUGCUCUCCAUUCAGCUGAUCUGGCUGGCUUGGUGGGUGUCCCCUUCCACCCUCACCACUCCACAUGUGUCCCUCCUUAAGCUGCUCACUUGGUGGAAGAGGAUGAUGAGUCCAGACAGAAGGCGUAUAUCAUCCUUUUGGUCAACGGUAUACAGUGAGGAUGGCAGUGCUGCUUUGAAUUUGAUGAUGUGUUUUUAGUUCACAUGCUGCGUGUGUGUGUUUAAAU